AUUUGACUUUAUUUAUAUUCUUUUGCAAUGCAAAAAAGCAUAAAGCCUGCUGCAUUUGGACGCUGGUGGUGCAGUGUUUUGUCUUUAUGAAGCUGUGAUGUGUAGGGCGAAAUUGAAAUUUAAUUUUUAGAUUUAGCUUUUUGUAUAUUUCCUCAUCAAGCUUAACCUUUAUUUACUACUAAUUUUUUCUUGCUUGUUCAUAUUAUUAUCUUAAUUAAUACAUUUCUUGUCAGGGUUAACGAGCUCUUGAAUUUAAUUUUAAGCACACUUGGCUCAAAUUACGCUGUCUUAAAGUUAUAAACUGUAAAUUGCUCUCUGAAUGUAUGUCUCAAGCAUAAAAAAAAGAAUAUUGAUAUUGGGUGUUUCCUUGCAUUAUCUAGCACAAAUUGUGCUAUUUUCCCCCUCACAAAACGCUUAAAACACGCCGUGUUUUAUGUGCAUUAGAUCCAGGCUGUGAAUGCAAACAUAGGAAUGAAGUUUAAACAAACACAUAACUGAAAUCAGAAAUUACGCCCUUUUUUCUUAUGCUUGAAUUGUACAAGAACAAGAUCAUUGUGCAUGACCUCAUGGCGCGUGUUUAGGCCCUUCCGUGGCCCACGUGAUUUCCCCUAUAGGCCCUGCGUGUGUGUUCCACGGGAGGGCGGCAUAGAAAUGGCUAGAGAACAGCCCACAAACUUGAAAUUUAAGGGCUUGUGUAAAAUAACAUGUACAGACUUUUAGUUUACAUCAAAUGUACGCUUGCUACGACGUCUUCCCGUCAGACAAGUAGUCACACACAACGCUUAAAUCGAAAAAUAAUUAUUGCUGUUAUUUCGUAAACCACAAUCAUACUGGUCUCUGGCGCCUCAGAGGGUCGCAUGUAACUCGGGGAGCGUGUUGCAUAAAGUGCGCAGUCAAGAUGGCCAGUCUUUGAUUUGGAAGAGUCGGCCAUGCUGCUGCUAGACUCAACCUAACAUGACUGAAAGCAGCAUGCACGAGCAGAAAGUGUGUGUGCUGCUCGUUCUAGAACGUUUCACGCAGUUCUAGAGUGCUUCUAGAAUCAGAGGCGUAAUCUGAAGCGAACUGGAGGGGCUCAAAUUACACAUGAGCGAUAUCUGGACGCAUUUAUGUCGGGAUAUAAUCCUCACACACAAGAUGCACAUCCACAGUAGCCUCGGCUUGAGGGAAGCCUACCUUUGCAGAAGAGGACUGUGGGAUAUCUCAGCUGAGCAGGGUGCUGCUGAGCGGCCGCAGCGUGAGCGUUCAUACAUGGCGUGGUGGUGGCACUGCUUUGGGGUUUGUCAUGCUCUUGGGUGGCAUGGCAGGCGGGGGAAACGGGCAGCUGAGAACACAGCAGGUGCCACGUCUUGCACUUCUGCCCUGACUGGCUCACUCUGACUGAACGCUGUGUGAGUGUGUGUGUUGGAGCAGUUGUUCGCCCCCAGCGCUGGUGAGAUGGUGUCAGGCUUGGUCAGUAGCACCUGUCCAAUACAACCUCUUCUUCUCCUAACCAUUCAUGGUUGUGUUACUACGAAGCUUCAUUUGUUGUCCUCUGAAGAUGCCAGUCUGUUGAACUCGAUGGCAUUUAUCUUGUCCUUCUGUGCAACUGUCACAAGAAAUAUGUGUAAUAUAGAGGGGGCUGUAAAUAUUUCAUUGCAGCCGCAUCAAGGGCACGCUGCCUCAUCUUACAGCAUUCAGAAGAGGGUGCGCCAUACCCUUAAAGGGAGCUUUUCCUUGCCCAGCGGUGUUUGCAAAUAUUAUCAGUGCUCCAACUGUUCUGGCAGAACCGAGUCUAUACCCAACAGUGAGAAUAAUCCUAUGGUUACUAUGGCAACCGAAUAGGAGUAUUUAUUUUUUUUCUUGAGAGGUCAAAGACGGAUGAAAAGGAUCUUGUAUUAUACAUUGCAUUUUGUACAAGUGCAUGUAUUUUUUUUUUUUUUUUUUUUUUUUUUUUUUUUGUCCCAAAGGAAAUUUUUUUUGCUCAGAGGUGGUUCAGUUAUGUUUUAUUUAAAUAUCGACUUUGUCUGAGAAGUUUCUGCUAAAACGCCUUAGGAGGAAUCAAAACAGACAAAUAAGAAUAUAAGAAUAUAGAAUUUCAAUGCCAAGUCAUGGGUUUGAUUCCCAGGGAAUGCAUGAAGUGAUAAAAUGUGUGCCAUGAAUGCAAUGUAAGUUGCUUUGGAUAAAAACACCAAAUGCAUAUAUGUACAAUGCAAAUAAAAGGUUAAAUGGGACUCAUUUUUGUCCACAUCUGUUAAUUUGUCUUCUGUAAUGUUUUUUUAAUUUCUGAAUUAAGUUCAUUUAGACUUUUUUUUUUUUUUUUUUUU